rnacentral:lncRNA from 1 species
GAAUGAAAUGGAAGUGAUGAGGGAAUGGUGAAGUGAUGAUCCCUAUUUAUAAAAAAUAGGGACUGUUAGAUUUGCGCCAAGUAGUGAAAUCUGCAGAAUAGAAAGAAAGUCAAUGUGAAAAUAUGAUAUGUGACGACCAAUUGAUAUGACCGACGGAUGGACCACGCGAUGUGAUGGUGGCACAAAAACUAGAGGCACGCCACACAAACGACAGUGACACG